GGUCCUAUGGUGUAAGUGGCAGCACUCCGGCCUUAUGGCCCGGCAAUCCGGGAUCGAAGCCCGGUGGGACCG